AAAUUGAAGAGUUUGAUCAUGGCUCAGAUUGAACGCUGGCGGCAGGCCUAACACAUGCAAGUCGAGCGGUAACACAGAGAGCUUGCUCUCGGGUGACGAGCGGCGGACGGGUGAGUAAUGUCUGGGAAACUGCCUGAUGGAGGGGGAUAACUACUGGAAACGGUAGCUAAUACCGCAUAACGUCGCAAGACCAAAGUGGGGGACCUUCGGGCCUCAUGCCAUCAGAUGUGCCCAGAUGGGAUUAGCUAGUAGGUGGGGUAAUGGCUCACCUAGGCGACGAUCCCUAGCUGGUCUGAGAGGAUGACCAGCCACACUGGAACUGAGACACGGUCCAGACUCCUACGGGAGGCAGCAGUGGGGAAUAUUGCACAAUGGGCGCAAGCCUGAUGCAGCCAUGCCGCGUGUAUGAAGAAGGCCUUCGGGUUGUAAAGUACUUUCAGCGAGGAGGAAGGCAUUAAGGUUAAUAACCUUAGUGAUUGACGUUACUCGCAGAAGAAGCACCGGCUAACUCCGUGCCAGCAGCCGCGGUAAUACGGAGGGUGCAAGCGUUAAUCGGAAUUACUGGGCGUAAAGCGCACGCAGGCGGUCUGUCAAGUCGGAU
rnacentral:rRNA from 1 species